UACCAGCUCCCCGACUGGUCGGGAUGAUUAUUGGGCCUAAAGCGUCCGUAGCCGGUUCUUUAUGUGGUUCGUUAAAUCUAGCGGCUCAACCGCUGGGCUGCGAAUCAUACUAAAGGGCUAGGGGGCGGGAGAGGCCAAGGGUACUCCGCGGGUAGGGGUAAAAUCCGCUGAUCCGUGGAAGACCAACAGUGGCGAAGGCGUUUGGCCAGAACGCGCCCGACGGUGAGGGACGAAAGCUAGGGGAGCGAACCGG
rnacentral:rRNA from 1 species